UUUAGAAUUUUAUCCUGGGUUCAGGAGAAACGCUAGCGGCAGGCUUAACCCAUGCAGGUCGAGGGGCAGCAUGUCCAGCAAUGGAUGAUGGCGACCGGCGGAAGGGUGCGUAACGCGUGAGCAACAUGCCCUAUACAGGGAGAUACACCAGGGAAACUUGGUCUAAUAUCCCAUAGCAUUCAUUGAAGGCAUCUUUAAUGAAUUAAAGCUUCGGUGGUAUAGGAUUGGCUCGCGUGACAUUAGCCAGAUGGUGAGGUAACGGCUCACCAUAGCAAUGAUGUCUAGGGGUUUUGAGAGGAAGGCCCCCCACACUGGGACUGAGACACGGCCCAGACUCCUACGGGAGGCAGCAGUGAGGAAUAUUGGACAAUGGAUGGAAAUCUGAUCCAGCCAUGCCGCGUGCAGGAAGACGGCCUUAUGGGUUGUAAACUGCUUUUAUACGGGAGCAAUAAGGGUUACGAGUAAUCCGAUGAGAGUACUGUAUGAAUAAGGAUCGGCUAACUCCGUGCCAGCAGCCGCGGUAAUACGGAGGAUCCGAGCGUUAUCCGGAAUUAUUGGGUUUAAAGGGUGCGUAGGCGGCCAUUUAAGUCAGCGGUGAAAUUUUGCAGCUUAACUGUAACAGUGCCGUUGAUACUGUUUGGCUAGGAUUUGGUUGUAGUGUGCGGAAUGUGUGGUGUAGCGGUGAAAUGCUUAGAUAUCACACAGAACACCGAUUGCGAAGGCAGCACACUAAGUCAUUAUUGACGCUGAGGCACGAAAGUGUGGGGAUCAAACAGGAUUAGAUACCCUGGUAGUCCACACUGUAAACGAUGGAUACUAGGUGUGGGAGGUAUCGACCCCUUCCGUGCCGCAGCAAACGCAAUAAGUAUCCCGCCUGGGGAGUACGGUCGCAAGGCUGAAACUCAAAGGAAUUGACGGGGGCCCGCACAAGCGGUGGAGCAUGUGGUUUAAUUCGAUGCAACGCGAAGAACCUUACCAGGUCUUGACAUCCAAAGAACCUUUAGGAAACUAAGGGGUGCCUUAGGGGGCUUUGAGACAGGUGGUGCAUGGUUGUCGUCAGCUCGUGUCGUGAGAUGUUGGGUUAAGUCCCGCAACGAGCGCAACCCUUGCUAUUAGUUGCUAACAUUCAGUUGAGCACUCUAAUGGGACUGCCCGUGACAAGCGGGAGGAAGGUGGGGAUGACGUCAAAUCAUCAUGCCCUUUAUGAUCUGGGCUACACACGUGCUACAAUGGAUGGUACAGAGAGCAGCGAGACAGUGAUGUGGAGCGAAUCUCAAAAAGCCAUUCUCAGUUCGGAUUGCAGGCUGCAACUCGCCUGCAUGAAGUCGGAAUCGCUAGUAAUCGCGGAUCAGCAUGUCGCGGUGAAUGCGUUCCCGGGCCUUGUACACACCGCCCGUCAAG
rnacentral:rRNA from 1 species